rnacentral:rRNA from 1 species
GAUGAACGCUGGCGGCGUGCCUAAUACAUGCAAGUCGAGCGAACAGACGAGGAGCUUGCUCCUCUGACGUUAGCGGCGGUCGGGUGAGUAACACGUGGAUAACCUACCUAUAAGACUGGGAUAACUUCGGGAAACCGGAGCUAAUACCGGAUAAUAUAUUGAACCGCAUGGUUCAAUAGUGAAAGACGGUUUUGCUGUCACUUAUAGAUGGAUCCGCGCCGCAUUAGCUAGUUGGUAAGGUAACGGCUUACCAAGGCAACGAUGCGUAGCCGACCUGAGAGGGUGAUCGGCCACACUGGAACUGAGACACGGUCCAGACUCCUACGGGAGGCAGCAGUAGGGAAUCUUCCGCAAUGGGCGAAAGCCUGACGGAGCAACGCCGCGUGAGUGAUGAAGGUCUUCGGAUCGUAAAACUCUGUUAUUAGGGAAGAACAAAUGUGUAAGUAACUAUGCACGUCUUGACGGUACCUAAUCAGAAAGCCACGGCUAACUACGUG